GCUUUUUUCUCCUCCUGAACCCCUUCCAUAGCAAUCGGGAGGCAAAGGGAGAGAAGGAAUUCUUCCCCGUCCCCCCGCCUCGCGGUGCCCUCUGGGCUGCCGCAUCUCUGCUCCGCGGAGCUGCCACCCCCUGCAGCCCUCGGCUUGCACAGAGCGGAGCUGCAGGAGCGCUGCGUUGGCUCUCCCCGCAGUAAGGGCAGCACCUCCCUGCGCUUCUGUCAGUGACGAAACGCACUGCCCUUCGUUACCAUCCAUUUUUAGACAGCACUCGAGGCAAUCAGGGCCACAUGACAGGAAAACCGCACACGGCUGCAGGGCAGCAGUGGGGCCGCACCACGCGCCCCGUGCCGCCGCCUCAGCCGUCCUCGCAGCGCGUUUCUGAACGACACCGAAGGAAAGCUGCGCAGGGCCGGCACUCCGUGCCCCACCGCUGCCGCCCGGCCGAGGAGGAGCAGGAACCGGCUCCGCUCAGCAUUAAAGCCAGCAGCGCUCCAGCCCGUCUCUGAAAGCAGCUUCCUAAGCUCGCACACCUCUCCAGUAACAUCUGCCGGUGGCGUUCAGCAGCGGAGCCUCGGGGCUCUGUGCGCCCACCGCCCGCAGCACCGCCUGAGCUGCGGCGGGGAGCAAAGCAGGGCGUGCAGCAACAGCUGCUGGAACAGCACCGCCGGGUCGACAGCUCUAAGCACUGCAUCCAAGGAAACGAAAACACAUCUAGUUUUAUAUGCAUUUAAUAGUUUACCAAUUGGUACAAUAAGAUUUUUUUAAUAUGCAGAAAACAUGAAUAAAUUUUGUUUUACACAGUCUGAGAGCAACAAAUCUUACUGUAAAACACAGAGCAGUAUUAUAUACAUUCCUUUACUAUUUUUUGUUGGUUUUUUAAAUCGUGUCAAUACCUUUAGUUAACUCCUACAGCCUGGGAACUGUUUUCUCCAAUUGCAACCUCUAACAUCGUUCUUAUGGAAAAAAUUCAGCGUUUGCCUUCAGGUCAAUGCCAGGAUCAGCUCCUACAACUCCGGGCUGUCGCCAACUGAUCUGCAGGGUGAGGCUGGGGAAGCCCGAGCGCCAGGCGGGACAAAAAGCAGCUACUUACGUGACACAGUGGAAAGAUAGAAAGGCCAGCUGAGCCCAGGUGUGACUCGGACAUCCACCCCAACCUUCCCCACUCCUAACAUCUUCAUCCCUACCAUUUUAUGCACGUAUUCUCUGCUAGAAGAUUCUAUUGACUUUUUUUUUUAAAUACACUGGACUUAAUGUACAGUUGGACAGCAAAUAACUCAUUCUAAGUGCGUUUCUCCUUCACUCAACUUAGUAUUUUCUCUUUAUAUUCAAAUCAUUAAAAGGAUUAUCAAGCCACCACUGUCUACAGAAAAGAAAAAAAACAAACAGUCUCUUUUUCUUUUAAAUAGCUUUCACACGAGCCAAAAGCUAUUUAAGAGUGCUAGUGUCAGGCAGCUCACGUAAAGACAGGAGGAGCACAGGGGAGCAGCAGGGUGCUGACGGAAGGAGACGCGGGGAGACGGCAGCCACAGCUCCCCCAGCACAGCUCACUACAGCUCCAGCUUUCUCUUUACUGGGUGCCCGGGCGCACCAUUGGUCACACCACACACAAAAGCAGGACGGUUUUCUUAAGUCUUCUAAAGUGCAAGAUGCGAUAAAACAUCACCUCCAGAUUACGUCUGAACCACAAUAAAUGUUGCACUUUCAAGAAUACAUCUAAGACUUCCUGGGCACAUUACAUGAGUGUGGCACUGGAAUGUCUGUCUGUGAAGCCAAGCAGCAGGCUGUCAGGGCUGCGUGGAGCAUGGUUUACACACGGCUAGUUUUUAAGCAAUGCCAAUUUUAGUACGAAAGUGACAAAGCAGCAGUGAACCUCUCAAACCCCCAACAGUUUGCAAUCCAUAGCAAUAGCCUCGGCGUAUCACAGGAAAGGCACAGCAUCAGGCAGCUGACAGAACGUUGCAAACAGUGAAAAAGUUCAACACAGUGUAAUACCACGGAGCAACACUGCAAAGAGCCUCACAGCCCCACCUCCUGCCUUGUGGGUUCAGGUUUUGUUUUUUUUGUUUUUUGUCUAAACAGGGCUUUCACUUUUGAUCCGUUCAGGACCAUCCCUGAGAUUAUUCACUGCUCAUUAAAGGAGAAGGUUGCAAAUUGCACUGCAGAAGUACUUGGCAGGGCGCUUCGCACAAGCAAUUAAAUGCUGCUUACGUUCGUUAGUUAUUUCCUCCUGCAAACAGCCCUAUGCUACAGCAAAAAAUGCAGCAGACGAUUUCCACUUAAUAGGUACCUUUAAUUUCUCAGUCAUGUUUAUGAAUUAUGUACACAAGUGUGGUUUUCAUACUUAAAGUUUCUGGGCUCUAUGGGGAGCUGAGCUGACUACUUUACCAUUGCAGCGCACUGAGGAAUUUUAAGAUGCGCUGCUGUGCCUCUGGAGUUCCUGAAUAGCACAGAGCAGCAAAUUUUUCCAGUCCAAGCAGCUAAUGAAGAUAAAAAUACUUUAUUUCUGCAUGCCUAAAUGCAGAAACACACACUGGAAAUGACAUAAGCCACUGGAUUUGAGAGGACUGCCUGAAUCUUACACUGGCUCCAAACCCCACACCUCAGAAGCCCAUUUCCCCGCCGCUCCCAGGGGCGGCUCCGCACAGCAACAAACAGCUCCGCCUGCACACAACGGGUCCUCCUGGGGGGCGACUGUAGGAAAUCAACACCGCAUCCCGCACACCUCCCAGCCAACACUGCUGGCCACGGACCGCUCUAUUUCUAAAAGGGACAGUUUUAAAAGCCAUGUAUUAAGCAAAAUGAGUAAAAAAGCACAACUUCACCUGUUAAAAUGUCAGACCGGUAUUUCACCCCAUGGAAAUUUUGAAGGGGAUUUUUAAAAGACACUGUUAGUUCAGUAAGUACUGGAAUUCUUAGUUCUCUAUAACGGAAUUUGUCACAAAAUGCUGAUUAAAAUAUUAAUUUAUACUUCCAUUCACUUCAGACCAAAGGAUGUAACUUCAGGGAUAUGCAAAUUAAAAACUGAAUCUACCAGAUGAUGCAAACGCCAAUAACCAAACUGGGCUGCUUUUGUGGACAGGAUUUGGGUUGUAGUUGUUUACUUGAGAGCAUCAUUCCCCCAGCUGGGCUCUGUUUUGCCGAUGGUGUUUUGUUUUUCAUUUAGAAGCCUGUAUCAAUUUGUAUCUGCCAUUAUAAUCUGAUGCUCAAGGUAUUUAGUGCUUGCUUUAAAGCACUUAAAUACUAUACCCAGAGAUAUUUCUUCAUACGCAAACCACAGUAAGUUUUUAUUUAAGCCACAUUGUCUCGUCAAGGUGAAUAUAACCUCAUAUUCAAAAGGGUUCCCAAGGAGGCAUUAAAGAAACCAAGACAGCUUCGUAUAUCCCAACCUCCUUGCACGUGAACGUAAGGGAAGUGUACUUUGAUACUGUCGUGUAAUAGGAAUUGCACAUCUCUAACAAACAUUGAAAGCAAACAGCAAGUUGUACCAUGGCAGUCAUUUGGGAGAUUAAGCUCUAUUGGAAAUCAGAUCACUAAAUUCUAGUGGGAUGGACAACUCCUCCUGGAAGUUCGUCUAGCAUUAAAAAAACUGAAAAAAAACCCCACAUUUAAACUUAGUUUAACAGCACAGUUUAACCACUGAAUGACCAAAUAAAAAAUAAAUACAUUUAUCACAUCAGCUGCUACUAGGAUUUGUUGUCUUAUUUCAGGUUUACAGUUAGUUAUAUAAAUAUACCAACCCUUGCGUGAUAGGAGGCCAAAACAAAGUGUAUUCUGUUGAUUUGGCAAAUGUUUCAUGACAAAUAUUCCAAAGUUUAAUUAAUUUCCAUUAAUUACAUAUAAGGUUCAGAAGAUUCUGACUUGCAGCCUUAUUAUCUAGUACUCUUAGAGAAGAUUUAUUAAGCACACUUAAGUGAUGUUACAUAGAUACACAUUUCUGAAAGAGCCCUACAAAACCUUUCCCAAAUGAGGUCACCAAUUCAGGCACCAACAGACAGCAGAAAGAAAAACAGGUAUAAUUAUCCGACACAGAACGACACUGUCAACUAUUCAGUUAAGUGCCCUAUUUCAAUCAUCCAACUUCUGCCUUCUUAGGUCUGAUGUGACCAAUGCCAGCCCAUGUUCUUAAACCUAUGGUACUUCUAGACAACGUAUGUAAAUUUACAGUAUACAAUUUGGAUUCACCAUGCAUGAAUACUUUGUGUGUAACAUUUAAUAAGCUCAAUCUACAUCCAGAAUAAUUUACAUGAAAGGACAAUAUUUAUUUAAACAGAGCUCAAUGGGUAACCAUGGUAUCUGAGUGCAUCCAGAGGAGAAAGGGGGUCAAAUGUGAAAUCAAUCAACGGCACUCCCACACUUUUACUGUUUGAUCUACACUUCCAGUAACCACAUAUGGUGCCGUCUUGUGGAAAUCCAAAGAGGUAACAAAGUGUUCGUGCGCAUUGAGGGUUUUCAUGCAUCGUUUGUUCUUGAAGUCCCAGACACGUAGAGUCUUGUCAUCAGCACAGCUCAAAAUAAACUUUCCCCCAGAAUGGAACAGAACGCCACGUACCCAGUUAUCAUGGCCCACAAGUGUCAUAAGGCACAUGCCAGUGCUGAUGUCCCACAUCUUAAUGGUUUUGUCUCUGGAUCCAGACAGCAGAAAAGGCCCAGGCUUACCACUCUUCUUAGUCUCUGAUCCUGUAGCUUCUGAUAUGGUGGAGUAUGAGCUCUCAGGAGCCCAGGAAAUGCAUUCUACCACAUGCUCAUGUUCUCGGAGCUCAGCUUUGCAUUCCUUUGUUGCUACCACCCAAACACGCACUGUCUGGUCAUUAGAACAACUGGCAAUUAAGGUGCCAUCCUGGUUAGGCCGCACCAUGCGCACCCAUUCUCUGUGACCCGUGAAAGUCUUCACACAGUAACCUGUUUGGACUUCCCACAUUUUGAUAGUUU
rnacentral:lncRNA from 1 species